UGGAUCGAUGAUGACUACCGGUGGCAUGUGAGCUGUGUAUGAGGAAUGUGCGUCCGGAACUAUGAGGUUAAA
rfam:Tupaia chinensis contig117310, whole genome shotgun sequence.